rnacentral:rRNA from 1 species
GACGAACGCUGGCGGCGUGCCUAAUACAUGCAAGUAGAACGCUGAAGCUUGGUGUUUGCUCCGAGCGGAUGAGUUGCGAACGUGUGAGUAACGCGUAGGUAACCUGCCUGGGAGCGGGGGAUAACUAUGGGAAACGAUAUCUAAUACCGCAUAAGAGUAUAUUUUGCAUUACCUUUUCUAAAAAGGUGCAUUUGCAUCACUACCAUAGGCAUCUGCGUUGUAUUAGCUAGUUGGUGGGGUAACGGCUCACCAAGGCAACGAUACAUAGCCGACCUGAGAGGGUGAUCGGCCACACUGGGACUGAGACACGGCCCAGACUCCUACGGGAGGCAGCAGUAGGGAAUCUUCGGCAAUGGACGGAAGUCUGACCGAGCAACGCCGCGUGAGUGAAGAAGGGUUUCGGAUCGUAAAGCUCUGUUGUAAGAGAAGAACGAGUGUGAGAGUGGAAAGUUCACACUGUGACGGUAUCUUACCAGAAAGGGACGGCUAACUACGUG